rnacentral:rRNA from 1 species
UUUCCUACGGGGCGCAGCAGUGAGGAAUAUUGGUCAAUGGGCGCGAGCCUGAACCAGCCAAGUCGCGUGAGGGAUGACGGUCCUACGGAUUGUAAACCUCUUUUGCCGGGGAGCAAGCGUGCGUUCGUGAACGCGCGUCGAGAGUACCCGGAGAAAAAGCAUCGGCUAACUCCGUGCCAGCAGCCGCGGUAAUACGGAGGAUGCGAGCGUUAUCCGGAUUUAUUGGGUUUAAAGGGUGCGUAGGCGGGCAUUUAAGCCGGCGGUCAAAUGUCGGGGCUCAACCCCGGCCUGCCGUCGGAACUGGG